AGGUUAAGCGACUAAGCGUACACGGUGGAUGCCCAGGCAGUCAGAGGCGAUGAAGGACGUGCUAAUCUGCGUAAAGCGACGGUAAGGUGAUAUGAACCGCUACAGCC
rnacentral:rRNA from 1 species